AACUUUUGGCAACGGAUCACUUGGCUCUCGCAUCGAUGAAGAACGCAGCGAAAUGCGAUACGUAAUGUGAAUUGCAGAAUUCUGUGAAUCAUCGAAUCUUUGAACGCACCUUGCGCCCCUUGGAAUUCCGAGGGGCACACCCGUUUGAGUGUCGUGAACAUCCUUCAACCUUUCUUGGUUUCUUAACCGGGGAAGGCUUGGACUUUGGGGGUCUUUCAUUGCUGGCCUCUUUGAAGCCAGCUCCUCCUAAAUGGAUUAGUGUGGUCUGCUUUGCCGAUCCUUGACGUGAUAAGAUGUUUCUACGUCUUGGGUUUCGCACUGUCGCUUUAGACCCCGCUUCUAACCGUCUUGCAUUCAAGACAGAGUUUUAAACCUUGACCUCAAAUCGGGUGAGACUACCCGCUGAACUUAAGCAUAUCAAUAAGCGGAGGCU
rnacentral:misc_RNA from 1 species